AUUGAACGCUGGCGGCAUGCUUUACACAUGCAAGUCGAACGGUAACAGGCCGCAAGGUGCUGACGAGUGGCGAACGGGUGAGUAAUGCAUCGGAACGUGCCCAGUCGUGGGGGAUAACGCAGCGAAAGUUGCGCUAAUACCGCAUACGAUCUAUGGAUGAAAGCGGGGGACCGUAAGGCCUCGCGCGAUUGGAGCGGCCGAUGUCAGAUUAGGUAGUUGGUGGGGUAAAGGCUCACCAAGCCGACGAUCUGUAGCUGGUCUGAGAGGACGACCAGCCACACUGGGAAUGAGACACGGCACAGACUCCUACGGGAGGCAGCAGUGGGGAAUUUUGGACAAUGGGCGCAAGCCUGAUCCAGCAAUGCCGCGUGCAGGAAGAAGGCCUUCGGGUUGUAAACUGCUUUUGUACGGAACGAGACGGUCCUGGUUAAUACCCGGGGCUAAUGACGGUACCGUAAGAAUAAGCACCGGCUAACUAUGUGCCAGCCGCCGCGGUAAUAC
rnacentral:rRNA from 1 species